GACGACGCUGGCGGCGUGCUUAACACAUGCAAGUCGAACGGAGAUUAUUAAUGAAGCUUGCGAUUUAAUAAUCUUAGUGGCGGACGGGUGAGUAACGCGUGGGCAACCUACCCAUAAGCGGGGGAUAACAGUUGGAAACGACUGCUAAUACCGCAUAAGCUAUUGAGGUCGCAUGACCUAAAUAGUAAAGGUGGCGAAAGCUAUCACCUAUGGAUGGGCCCGCGUCUGAUUAGCUAGUUGGUGGGAUAGCAGCCUACCAAGGCAACGAUCAGUAGCCGGCCUGAGAGGGUGGACGGCCACACUGGGACUGAGACACGGCCCAGACUCCUACGGGAGGCAGCAGUGGGGAAUAUUGCGCAAUGGGGGAAACCCUGACGCAGCGACGCCGCGUGAGCGAAGAAGGCCUUAGGGUCGUAAAGCUCUGUUGUAAGGGACGAAUGUUUAUCUGGCGAACAGUCAGAUAAAGUGACGGUACCUUACCAGCAAGCCCCGGCUAACUACGUG
rnacentral:rRNA from 1 species